GAUCCUGGCUCAGGAUGAACGCUAGCUACAGGCUUAACACAUGCAAGUCGAGGGGCAGCAUUCUAGUUUGCUUGCAAACUAAAGAUGGCGACCGGCGCACGGGUGAGUAACACGUAUCCAACCUGCCGAUAACUCGGGGAUAGCCUUUCGAAAGAAAGAUUAAUAUCCGAUAGUAUAUUAAAACCGCAUGGUUUUACUAUUAAAGAAUUUCGGUUAUCGAUGGGGAUGCGUUCCAUUAGUUUGUUGGCGGGUAACGG
rnacentral:rRNA from 1 species